rnacentral:rRNA from 1 species
GGGAUCACACUUGGAAACAGGUGCUAAUACCGCAUAACCAUAGUUGCCGCAUGGUAACUAUGUAAGAGGUGGCUAUGCUACCGCUUUUGGAUGGGCCCGCGGCGCAUUAGCUAGUUGGUGGGGUAAAGGCUUACCAAGGCAAUGAUGCGUAGCCGAACUGAGAGGUUGAUCGGCCACAUUGGGACUGAGACACGGCCCAAACUCCUACGGGAGGCAGCAGUAGGGAAUCUUCCACAAUGGGCGAAAGCCUGAUGGAGCAACGCCGCGUGGGUGAAGAAGGUCUUCGGAUCGUAAAACCCUGUUGUUAGAGAAGAAAGUGCGUGAGAGUAACUGUUCACGUUUCGACGGUAUCUAACCAGAAAGCCACGGCUAACUACGUGCCAGCAGCCGCGGUAAUACGUAGGUGGCAAGCGUUAUCCGGAUUUAUUGGGCGUAAAGGGAACGCAGGCGGUCUUUUAAGUCUGAUGUGAAAGCCUUCGGCUUAACCGGAGUAGUGCAUUGGAAACUGGGAGACUUGAGUGCAGAAGAGGAGAGUGGAACUCCAUGUGUAGCGGUGAAAUGCGUAGAUAUAUGGAAGAACACCAGUGGCGAAAGCGGCUCUCUGGUCUGUAACUGACGCUGAGGUUCGAAAGCGUGGGUAGCAAACAGGAUUAGAUACCCUGGUAGUCCACGCCGUAAAC